CGCUGGGCGUAGAUCCUGCAGGGAGGGAUUUGGCCUGUGGGUCACCCUGGCUUCUGCUGGUCACCAUGGAGAUGGAAUCCCCGCUUGGCGCUGCCCACUGCUUGCUGGGUGUCACUCGGGAUUGACUCACAGCCCAGCAUACUGCCGAAGCCUGAUCUGAGCACCCUGGCAGCCUUUUCCUCCCAGCUUUGUCCCACCUGGCUUCUACCCAGUAGCCAGUAGCCCUAGAGAUGGGACGUAUCCUGCUGGAACCUGCAGCCACCCAAGCCCAGGGCUGAGCCCCCUGGAGCCAAGCUCUGGCCUCCCUGGACCUCAGCCACAUCCCAGAGACCCAGAGAGAGUGACUCAGGUCCGACAGUGGCUCCAGAUGACCUCAAGUGACUCACAGCAAAUAGAAUGAAGCUGACACCCAGCCUUUCACCCGUCAGCUCUCUUUUGUCAUUCACUCAGCAGUGACUGCCACCAUUUCCCAGCUGUAGUUGGAUAUGCCCAGACCGGCUGCAAUCCCAAGCCUGCGUGGUCCAGAUACUAAGAGCCUCAAUUCUGGCUGCACAUGGACAUCACCUGCAGAGAGCAUCCUCUGUAGGUCAUUUGUUUAUUUGUUGCAUGAACUUGAUCCACAUUCAUCUCAUUGCUGGAGUGGCUGUGACCGGAGUCAGCCCAGGUGACGGGAGACUGGGCCUGGGAACUGAAGGCCUUUGAACCGAGGAGAAGCAAUUCUUCACAUCAUCACUGUCAGGCAGUUCUCACUUAAAAAAAUGAACGCCUCUAAAAAAAAAUU
rnacentral:lncRNA from 1 species